ensembl:lncRNA
GGGGAUAAGAUGUGGGAAAAGAUACUAUAGCAGCCCUCCAGGACUCACAUCAGUUCUUCAGACAAAUUGUGGAAAACAUGAAUGUGAAUCUCAUGACACAAAGCAACACUACCUUUUCAGGUCUUUUUGUUUUUGUUUCUUUAGAGGGAUACUUCAAGAUCCUUGAAAAGACAAAUUACGACUGGAAGGAUGCAUUCAUGUAGAGAAGUACAAGUUCCAGGAUUAUCCUGAUUUCAGGCACAUAGUCCUUUCCAGAAACAAUACUAAACAUGAAUCUUGCAAGUACAGUAACCUACAGAUGACAGUCAGCAAGGAUUUGCAGAAAAUGCAAUAUAUGAACAAAUCUCUGAACUCCACUUGGGGAAUUCUCAACAGGUAUUCCUUGGGGAAAAUCUCUCACUGCUCUUCACCUGUUUCUGACUGUAACAGAAGAGUCAGGUGCACAGACCGGUCACACUGCUGCUGCUUCCAAACAGUAUUCCAGACAUUAUAAAAAGAUGCUGGGUCUGAAAUUUUAUAACAAGUCUCAUCAGUUGGCUGUUUUAUUUUCCUGGAAAGGAGCUCAACUGAACAAGCUCUGGCAGACACACAGAGCUAUGCUGUUGCCACUGACAGGAGUCCCAGAACAACACAUACAGUCUGUGAGAAAAUGCUACUGUCUCACAACUGUGGAAAAAAAAGAAAAGAGCAGCAAAGGUACGAACGAGGGAUGCAGUAUUAAUCUAUUGAUGAUUAAGUGCUGCCAUUGUUCCUUAAUAGCUAAGUUCAAUGAUGAUAGACAUCCUGAAAAAUAGAUAGAUAGACAGAAAGAUAGAUAUCCUCAGCUACAUCAACCAUCCAUAAUAUCCCAUGUGCUGCCAUCACUGCUUUGCCUGACCAAUUGCCUGUGUAACCUGUUCCAUCUUGUAUGAUCAAUAUUAGCACUUCACUAAGCAUGCAGUUACAGCUAUCUGCUAGCAAAGGAAGAACCUCAUCUUGCCUCUUUGUAAUGAAAGAUGAUCAUCUUGAAGAAGAAAUGCAAUUUCCUAUACCGAUACUUUCAUUUAAUUGUUUUCAGUGACUUGUUUGAUGCCUGUGUUCUACUUAUUAUGUAAAUAUAGCAAAAAGCAAAGUAUCAGAAAAUGAAUUAACAUUGAAAAGUUGAACAGGAAAACAGGGUUUGAUGUCCAAGCAAUGUCUCUGUGCCUCAGUUUUCCAUAAUUAAAGUGAGAUUAACAAUACCAUAACCACCUUUUGUGAGAUUCUUGUGGAUCAUUGAUUAGCAGACGUAAAAAGUUUCAGGGGCAGAAAUUCCCCUGGUGCCUCCAAAUAGUAAGUGGGCUGUGAUUCUCUUAGGAACUGACUGAGAUACCAAAGAAUGAUAAGAUACAGUAGCGCAGGAUCAAAAGGAGAGGA